CUGUUUUCUGUAUUGUUGACUUCAGCUGCAUUAUAAUAGUGUGCUUUGUUUGUGUAAUAUAUUAUAUAUUGUGUAGGAUGUAAACUAAAACUUUAUACUCAUUUGACGUACUUCUAGAUCAGUUGUGGUACGAAGUGAUAGUUGUACAAAUGGUUACUCCUAUUCGCUUUAAAUACAGAAGCAAUUGGCAAACAUUUAUACAGCGUGCAUUAAUAAUCAUACUUAAUAUCGAAACCGGCGCAUUGAAAUUAAUUUGUUGAAUUGUUCAGAUUAUUUUUAAAUCACAUUAAGCUGAAAAGUUGUGUUAAUACCAUAAAGUGUAAUUAUAAAUUCGUCAAAAUAAUAAGUUAUUUUUGGCUUUAGUACAUUUUAAAAAACAUUCUUGUUAUGUGAAAUAAGAUCAUGUUCAACCUGAAGGGAUAACCUGAUACAUCAAAGAAAUUUCAUAAAGCUAUAGUGAUGUUAUAAAUAAAUUUAAAAUAUUAAUUUUCAGAAGACAUUGCAAUGACUGUACGGAUAAGCAGUUCUUACAUGAAUAGCAACGGUUGCAGAAUACUUUGAACUGUAAUGCAGACCACCAGCUCUCAUAUGAAUAAAAUACAUUGAACUAUAAUAAAAAUGCCUUUUGGUUUUUCAAGAACAUAAAGACCUAACUAUUAAUAAAUAGAAGAUAAGAGUGUGGUUUAAAAUUAGGCUGUGUUCACUUUGAGAUUGAUAGUGGUUUUACUACAUUCCACAAUUUUUUCUUCCUUUUUUUUUUUUUUGCAUACUUAAUUCCCCCCCCCUUUUUUUUGCAUACUUCUGUCAAUUUUUUUCAGUCAUUAUUCAGUGGCAUGGCAUUUUCGUAUGAAAUCAAUUUUGAAUCUUGCAUCAUUUUAAACUACCAUUUACAUUGACAGUAUAUUUAUGUGUUUAUUAAAUUGUUAAUAUCUUCGUAAAAUGUGAAGUUUGAAAAAAAUUAUCUGCUAAGGUAAUUAUAUGCAGAAAAAGAGUUUAAAGUUAUUAAUAAAUUAAAUAUCUCAUCAUUAAAUAUCUCAUAAUGAAAAGUUAUGAUAGUGAUUUUCGUAUAUCUUAUGAUUGCACAGUUAUUUGAAUCUUCAUAUCCACAUACUUGAAAGGAUUCUUGUUAUAGGUAACCAGGUGAAGUAUCUUCUGCAUCAUAGAUGUAGAAUAAAACGUAACACUUGCAUAUAUAUAUUUUCCUACUUAUAUUUUGUAAUUGUGCUACUGGAAUUUCCUUUCAAAAAUUAUAGAUUAUGAGAAAGUGAGUGACAGAGACUUAAUUUGAGUCAGGGCAUGAAAUUUUGAAGUCUGCUUUUGGUAGAAUCUUGAUAAGGCAGAGAGCAACUAUUGCAAAUUGAACUUUGGGUUUUGGGCCAAACCCAAAGGCAAGAUUGGGUUAGCCUGAUUGUCAUGGGGAAUUAGCUCAAUGUUCCUGUACUGUGGCAUCAAAAUUCUUCUCAUUUUCGACAUUACCGGUGCAGUUUUUGUUCUUACUCAACAAAUGAUUCAUCGAACUGGAAAAGGCAUGGAAGAGUUCAUACACAGGAACGUCCUUUUGCUUGCCAUUUGUGUUCGAAAACUUUUAACCAUAAAGUUAGUUUAGAAUACCACAUGUGUACUCAUACCAAAGAGAAACCUCACAAAUGUCAAAUAUGCUUUUGUGAAUUCACUAGAAAGUAUA
rnacentral:lncRNA from 1 species